CGAGUGGGGUGAACGGUCGCGCAUGCGGAUCUAAAGAUCCGUGUGUGAGGAAAGUCCGGGCUCCGCAGGGCAGGGAUAACGGAUAACGUCCGCCGGGAGCGAUCCCAGGAAAAGUGCAACAGAGAUAUACCGCCGGCUUCGGCCGGUAAGGAUGGAAAGGCGAGGUAAGAGCUCACCCAUCCCUGUGGUAACACGGGGAUGCUGUAAACUCUAUCCGGAGCAACGCCGUGGGAGAACAUAUGGCCGGCCCGGCCGUUCUCAGGAGGCGGCUUGAGCUGUACGGUAACGUACAGUCGAGAUAGAUGACCGUUUUUAACAGAACCCGGCUUACAGCCCCUCUCGUAUU
rnacentral:RNase_P_RNA from 1 species